AUCCUUAAAUUCAUGAGUGUGGUGACUGGGUCUUCAUGUCGUGUGCAUGAGAUGUGCCUCCCUCCAACCUUGUUAUGAUGUCAGCACAUUAGCCUUCUUAUC
rfam:Fukomys damarensis contig133663, whole genome shotgun sequence.